AAACAGUUCAUCCUGAUUAAUGGACAGCUUUGCUCCAAGUGGUGUUUCAGGGACUCAAGUACUUUUUAUCUUAUUCUUCCAACAUCUUCAACUCCUGCCAAUGAAAAAUGAAAUAACGAGAUUUUUCUAAUUUCAUAUUUGCUUCAAGAGAAUUUGUAAUUGCUUGUUAAAAUACUUUUAUGAUGGUUGCUUUAAAGUAUUUGUCAGGAAAUUCCAACCUCUAAAGCAUCUCUAUUCAUUAUUUGAUCUCAUUCUAGUUGUGGUUUUCCUGGUUCUUGGUAGAAUGAGUGAUUUUCUAUUGUAUCCUAAACAUUUUGGAUACUAUAAGACUCUGGAUGCUAUUUAAUUCUCUUUUUAAGCAGAGAGCACACCUAUUGCAAUGUACUCU
rnacentral:lncRNA from 1 species